rnacentral:tRNA from 1 species
GGGAAUAGCUCAGUUGGUAGAGCAUCACCUUGCCAAGGUGAGGGUCGCCGGUUCGAGUCCGGUUUCCC